rnacentral:rRNA from 1 species
CCCAGACAGCCAGGAUGUUGGCUUAGAAGCAGCCAUCAUUUAAAGAAAGCGUAAUAGCUCACUGGUCGAGUCGGCCUGCGCGGAAGAUGUAACGGGGCUAAACCAUGCACCGAAGCUGCGGCAGCGACACUGUGUGUUGUUGGGUAGGGGAGCGUUCUGUAAGCCUGUGAAGGUGUGUCGUGAGGCAUGCUGGAGGUAUCAGAAGUGCGAAUGCUGACAUAAGUAACGAUAAAGCGGGUGAAAAGCCCGCUCGCCGGAAGACCAAGGGUUCCUGUCCAACGUUAAUCGGGGCAGGGUGAGUCGACCCCUAAGGCGAGGCCGAAAGGCGUAGUCGAUGGGAAACGGGUUAAUAUUCCCGUACUUGGUGUUACUGCGAAGGGGGGACGGAGAAGGCUAUGUUGGCCGGGCGACGGUUGUCCCGGUUUAAGCGUGUAGGUGUGUGUUCCAGGUAAAUCCGGUUCACUUUAACACUGAGGCGUGACGACGAGGCACUACGGUGCUGAAGCAACAAAUGCCCUGCUUCCAGGAAAAGCCUCUAAGCAUCAGGUAACACGAAAUCGUACCCCAAACCGACACAGGUGGUCAGGUAGAGAAUAC